rnacentral:lncRNA from 1 species
GGCUCAGACACAAUAAGGACAGAUAAAGAAAUGCAAAGAGCAUUGCAAAACACUAUUUAUUACUAUUUUCAGCGGUGGGGCACAAAGUACGACGUCUUUCUGAUGAAGUCCUUCUCAGCACAUUUCUGACGUGGUGCCAGGUUAACUGAGAUGCUGCAGUUCCAAGGAGGCAGGAAAAAAGUUGGAGAUGAACUUGUAGCCCAUGACAGCAAUGUCAUCUACACCCGCUCGCCUGUCCCUUCUUUACGGGUAAUCUGGUGGUCUUCCUGCCACCAAUGUCUCGGUGUCAUCCAUUUCCUUUGUCCCAUCCCAGAAGUAGCAUCAGCAAAAAUAUACUGGAAGAUCACACUGGGCUGGUAGCCAAUGCAGAUUUAUGUCUUUGGGUUGUUUUUUUUUUUUUCGUUGUGAGCUGCCUUUGAUUUAAAGACCAGCUUUUUAUCACGGACGAGGUGUUGAGCUAGGGACCAGGGCUUGGCAGCAGGGUCCUGCUGAAUGGCCCCAGGCAGGACAUUUGGCCCCAACUCUGUUCAUGUGUUGGGGAUUGGCCUGUUUAAAAUCCAUUUGGUGCUCUCUUCUCCUGGAAAUUGCCACUGAGGGAGAUUUUUGGUUUGUUUGUUUUCUCACAGAUGACAAAGGAGGCGACGCAGAAUGCCAGCUGGAUGUCCCAGUAACACCGGGGUACGGAUGGCCCCCAUAUUUGGUGGCUGUUCCCAGGGAUGGUGCAUGGCGAGGUGGCCACGAACACCGGGAUGAAGAUGAGCAGUGAAGUGAUGGCUGGUUCCAGUCACAGCACAUUGGGCAAUGUUCAAGGCUGUCAGCUCAGCUGUGCCCGGCACUUCCAGGAUGAGAGAGCAGGAUGAGUCUACAAGCCCACAUUAAAGAUUUAGAGGAAGGCACGCUGCCCUUCAUCUGCUGCCGCCGUCGUCGUCGCACCAACUUUGAACACACUUUGCCCCAAGACUCUCUGGCGGCGCUGGACUGUGUCGGUGAGUGGUGCCAGCUGAACUCAUGCAGUAAAGAAGAGUGAUUAUACAUCCUGUAUGUAAUCACGGAACAUAUGUUAGAAUGGCACAUGAAAUCUGGGCACACUUUACCCAUGUAGUAAAGACCAGGAAAAUUAUGAACAAGCUACAGAAGGAAAACAACUUGCCAAAAUUUCCCAAACCAAGCAGGAGGUUCCAGCGAGCUGGAACUCCACACAGUAUAUUCUUGAGGGGGUUUUGGAACAGAAACCUGGAUAUGUCUAUAGCAUGUUGGCAAUGCUCAUGAUAUAAAGAGCAGAUGUCCUCACCUCCACCCACACGAUUAUGGCUGCCAGUUUUUCUAAUAUCUUCUGCCUGAUGAACUGUCCAGUUGCAAGAAUUUAGGCAGAAAAAUAUAAAUGGUAUUUCUAAAUUAGGGACAUUUUGCUAGAUGCUAACCUUCCAGAACUGCUCAGUAAGGCAGAACUGGUUGAAGGAAAAAGACAAAAGGACCAAGCCAAACCAUGGUUUGUCUUGGGGAGGAAGUUUAGAUAAAUAUAUUUUAAAAAAAAUAAAAAAUAUCUAUUUUUAGAUUUAAAAAUAACU